UGGGGCCCAGUUCUCGGGGCGGAUGGUAUAAGGCUUCUAGAGCGGGGAUGACUGAGCAGAGACCAGUUACAGGGGUGGAGACCUCCAUUUCCGGGGCGGGGCUGAGCGGGAACCAGGCUGUGGUUGUGACAGCCCUGGAGGUUGGGGCUGGCUGUGGGCGGAGAUAAGCUCCGGGCCGGGCGGAGGGCGGGGACUAGGCUGUGGGUGUACCGGUCUUGGAGGGCAGUGGUGAUUGGCAGAGAGCAGUUCUAGGGGCGGAGCUAUGGGGUGGCAGCAAGCCUGGGGGCGGGGCUGACUGUGGGCGGAGACCAGUUCUGGGGGCGGGACUGUGGGCUGCACCAGGCCUGGGGAGGGGGCAGUGGGUGGAGACCAGUUCCAGGGGCAGGGAUCUGGGUAUGAAUAAAAGGGUGUAUGAUGUGGGUGGGUUGGGAUAGGCCCAGGAGCCAGGAUUGUGGGAGAUCAGAUUCAGGGGUAGGGCCUUCCUUGGAUCCCUAGAUUGUUGAUACAGUUACUGCCCCAUGUUCAUACAACCCAAUAGGAUCAGAUUAUGUAUGCACAUUUGUCUAUAACUUGCUUUCCCAAGGCAGAACAUAGUGAUUUAACACUAAGAGUUUAGGGGAGCAGGAGAGGACUGGGUCAUAGAUACACAUAUAGGAAAACUUAAGAAUGGUACAAAGUCAGUCAAAUAUUCUCCCACCACGGUCUUUCAGUUCUUUUGCUCAGAGGCAAAAAUAAUUUUCUCCUCUAUCUUUCCAGAUAUAGUGUGGACAUGUAUGUGUGUGUAUGUGUGUAUGCCGUAGUCAUAUUCAUGGAAUAAAUGCUAUUACCUCCCCCCCAACAAGUCUCUGUUUUAUACACCAUGGAUAUAGACUGAACAAAAUAGGUAAACGUCCUUGCCCUCAGAGAACGUGCAUUUUAGUUGUGAGUUGGGCAGGAGAAAUGGACAGUGAAUGUGAUAAAUAGAAUACAUGGUGGGUUGGUGCGUUAGAUACCACUAAGUGCUGGUUGGACCUGGUGGCUUACGCUUGUAAUCCCAACACUUUGGGAGGCCGAGGCAGGCAGAUCACCUGAGGUCAGGAGUUCGAGACCAGCCUGCCAACAUGGUGAAACCCCGUCUCUACUAAAAAUACAAAAUUAGCCGGGCGUGGUGGCGGAUGCCUUGUAAUCCCAGGUACUUGGGAGGCUGAGGCAGGAGAAUAGCUUGAACUCGGGAGGUGGAGGUUGAAGUGAGCCGAGAUUGCAGCCGGUGCACUCCAGCCCGGGUGACGAGCAA
rnacentral:lncRNA from 10 species